rnacentral:lncRNA from 1 species
AUGGUGGGCUACAGGAGGGCCUUCCAGCCGUGCAGCCGGUGUGGACAGGGGGUGCAGAGGAUCAGGGCAGAAAAGUGGCAGAAAAGGGUGGCCAGCCUAACAAAGCUGAAGCUUUGGAGAGGAGUCUGUGAGCACAGCCCCAUGCACAAGGAGGGGGCUGAAGAGACAUGCAGCAUUCCAGUAUUGCCCUUCACAUUUCCUAACAGUUUUUAUGAAGGUAGCAGCAGAGGAGAAGCCCCAGUGCGUGAGCGGAAGCCACAGCAUUGCAGCACUUGGUCUCUGGGCUGCAGCGCAGACUGCUGAGC